UCCUCUUUAGCUCAGUUGGUAGAGCAACGGACUGUUAAUCCGUUUGUCGCUAGUUCAAGUCUAGCAAGGGGAG
rfam:Psychromonas ingrahamii 37, complete genome.